UUUGUUACUUAUUGGAUAGGUAAGAGUAUCUGUACUUCUUAAAACCUAUUGGAUGAGCAACAAUUUGAAGAAUGCAACUUCCAAUCUAUGAAAACACAAGAAGAAGACCUAAGAUUUGUUGUAUUGGAAUAAGAACUUAUAUGAAUUAUCAAUUGUCACAAUAGUUCAAUCAAUUGAUACUCCUUCUUUACAUAUUAACAUAUCUGUUUUAAAUGGAAGUGCAUUUGUCAGAGAAAAAUAUAAGAAUGAACAAACAUAGAUUUCAGCAAAUAUUGAACUAUGUAAAACAACGUUUUCAAAGAAAUCUGGAGUAUUUAGAUACUUCGUUACGUAAUUUUUUUCAACAACCCUUCAAUAUAAUUACAUUAUCGACAAAACCAUUUUAAGGUGAAUGGUAUCUUCGUGCUGUCGUCGCCAGCUGUAGAAAUUUAAAAAAAAGUGAAUAGGAUUUUCUUAAAAAUGUAAUACCUAAGUUUGAUAAAUAAGUUAUGGUAGCUACAAACGUGCAUUUACACUCAUUUUAAUCUCUCUAUAUUCAAGAUCAACAUUAAUAUCCAAAACUCUUCUGAGAGUAGGUGUAUACGAAAAUACGGGCAAUUUUCAAAAACGUUGUUAACCGAAUUACCUAAUACCAAAGUUUGAUAAUUAAUUUUAACGAAGCUAUGGUGGCUACAAACCUGUAUUUACACUCAUUUUAAUCUCUGUAUAUUCAAGAUCAACAUUAAUGUCCAAAACUCUUCUGAGAUUUGGUUUAUACUAAAAUACAGAUCAUUUUAGAAGACGUUAUUUUCC